CUAAAAUGCAGGGUGAUCCCAGCCAGGAAGUCCUUAGAGUCAUCAGCAUGGAGGCAGCCCCUUAAAGCGGAAAAAACACAGCCCUCAGCGGCUGGAGACACGGGUUCAAGUCCCAGCCUGGCCACUCAAUUGACAGCGUGAGCUCUCAAUGAUCUCAGAGAGAAGGCACCUGCCAGGUCUCAAUAACCCUAUAGACACUUCUGUACUCACAGGUGGGCUCUUCCAGCCCAGCAGCUCCUCUGUUUGGGGACCACGGGAAGCCCUUGGCAGCAACGAAAGGCAGGAGUGAGGAUGAAGGGGGCGUGUUAUGCCCUCUUGCCUCUGGCUCUCCAGAUACUCAGGUGGAACCGACACCCAGGCAGGACAAAAACAGAACACUAGGACCGUUGACUCUCAAGGACAACACCAGGAGGGAGAAGAAAGCACACAGAGGAAGGACCCAGGAUCACUGACUGAAGACCACACAGUGAGGACCAGCCUGAGCAGCACUCCUAUCUGGACCCAGGGUACCCGAUUGUGUCCUCAUAAGUCCACAUCUGCCCCCCGGCCACCAGCUCUCAGCUCUGAAACUGGUGUCUCCAUGCCAUAGCAGUCCAGCCAAAAGAUAAAUAUGAUGGUGGAGUUGAGGAGAUGGGUUCUUCUCCAUGAGGGAUGGAGCUGCACCCAAGGAUCUAGAAGAGAAAGCAGAGGGCUUCUGGACAUGCGUCGAGAGCAGGCUCUGCACAGAAUGAAAAAUGACCUACUGGAGAUGUUCAAGCACUGGCUGGUGAGAUGCUACUCAGGAAUGAAAAGAAAGAGGCAACAGAUCCGUGAACAAUAUAGAUGAAUCCCAGAGACAUUAAGAGGGAAAGAAGCAAAAAAAAAAAAAAAAAAGAGGGAAAGAAGCCAGGCACAAAAGAGGACGUGCUGUCUUAUUCCACUUAUAAGAAAUUCUAAAAGAGGCAAAACAAAGCCAUAGUGAUGGAAACCCGAUUAGUGGUGGUGGUGGGGGGGGCCAGGAGGUGGGAUUGAUGGGUGAGGGACCCAACAGGGCUUUUGGGGGUGAGGGAAAUGUUCUGCAUCCUAAUUAGGUGGUGUUGACACAGAGUAGACAUUCGUCAAAACUCACAGAAAGAGGAACGCCUGGGUGGCUCGGUGGUUGAGCGGCUGCUUUCAGCUCAGGGUGUGAUCCCAGGGUCCUGGGAUCGAGUCCCGCAUCGGGCUCCCUGCAUGGAGCCUGCUUCUCCCUCUGCCUGUGUCUCUGCCUCUCUCAUGAAUAAAUAAAUAAAAUCUUUAAAAAAACUCA
rnacentral:lncRNA from 12 species